UGGGGAAUUUUGGUCAAUGGGCGCAAGCCUGAACCAGCAACGCCGCGUGGGUGAUGAAGGCCUUCGGGUUGUAAAGCCCUGUCGGGAGGGACGAAACGGCAGCUUAACAAACUGCUUUGACGGUACCUUCAAAGGAAGCACCGGCUAACUCUGUGCCAGCAGCCGCGGUAAUACAGAGGGUGCAAGCGUUGUUCGGAAUUACUGGGCGUAAAGCGCGUGUAGGCGGUUUUUCAAGUCUUGUGUGAAAGCCCUGGGCUUAACCCAGGAAGUGCGCAAGAUACUGGAGAGCUGGAGUGUCGGAGAGGAUGGCGGAAUUCCCGGUGUAGAGGUGAAAUUCGUAGAUAUCGGGAGGAACACCUGUGGCGAAGGCGGCCAUCUGGACGAUAACUGACGCUGAGACGCGAAAGCAUGGGGAGCAAACAGGAUUAGAUACCCCCGUAGUCC
rnacentral:rRNA from 1 species